GUGCAGGCUGGUGCUAGACGAGAAGGGGACCAACUAAAAAGAAGAAAAGCGAACCAAAGCUUCGAGCAGCAGAUUGGCUUCUAGUGCUUUCGUCGUUUUUGUUUUUUUAUAUUCCCUAAACCUGCAACUUCUAUAACAAAACCAUAACCAAACCUCAGAAGAAAUAAAUAAGUAGGAAAAAAGGGAAACCGCUCUCUACAUUUAGAUUCAAGCUUUUGAUUGCUCAUGUGCUGAAGUUAGGCUGCUUAGCUCCGUCGAAACCCUAGAUUUUCAGUUCUCUAAGCAUCGUAAAUCCACGAAAUGGCCUUCUGGUGGCCAAUAAUUGUUCUUGUUUUUGCCUACGCGAUCUGUCGGUUCUUGUUGAUGCUCAUCCCUCCCAAUGUGCCUUCAAUUGACGUCGACGCCUCCGAUGUGUUGGAUAGGAAUCAAUCACAGGACAACAGCUUCAUAUAUAUACCUCCUAGAGGAAGGACACAGCAACAAGACAAAAAAGUCCAGUGCUAUGAGCCUGCAACUAUGAAGUACUUGGGAUUUUUCCCUGCCUUGUCACCUGUUGAGGUCAAGGAGCACGUGGCAGAGGCAAGGAAGGCUCAGAAAUUAUGGGCCAAGAGCAGCUUCAAGCAAAGACGCCAGUUUUUGCGGAUACUUCUGAAAUAUAUUAUUGAACACCAAGAGCUUAUAUGCGAGUAAGGAUGGAGGACUGAUCCUUUGAAACCAUUCUUUGUCAUUGUUAUCAGUGCUUAAGAUAUUUUUGUUCGACAAAAUUGAAUUUAUCUUUUCUUACAAUGUAGUUGUCCAGCAAUUGGUUCAGGCAUUUAAAAGGAAGGGAAAAAGAAAUCAUAAAACUUUAGAAUGGCAAAUGCAAUAUUGUUGGAUGCUUUGUUCAAAAUCCUUGGCUGUGUGGUUGAAAAUGGCUUUUCUUUUUCCUUUCUUUUCCCCCUUAUUAGAGGUGGUGUUCCAUGUCUAUGAGUUAUGUGCUUUGUAUCUUAUUUCAUACUACAAUGUUAGUUAAGGAUUGCCUUGUGUCUUGAUUAAUGGGUCAUGUUAAUUAGAGUAUCUUCGCGCGAUACUGGAAAAACAAUGGUAGAUGCCUCUUUAGGAGAAAUAAUGACUACAUGUGAGAAGAUCACUUGGCUUCUCUCAGAGGGUGAGCGGUGGCUAAAGCCUGAAUAUCGAUCUUCCGGGAGAUCAAUGCUUCACAAGAAAUCCAAGGUGGAGUUUCAUCCUCUUGGUGUUAUUGGUGCCAUUGUGUCAUGGAACUAUCCUUUUCAUAAUAUUUUUAAUCCAAUGCUAGCAGCACUCUUUUCAGGAAACAGCAUUGUGAUUAAGGUUUCAGAACAUGCAAGUUGGUCUGGAUGUUUCUACAUCCGAAUAAUUCAAGCUGCACUUGCUGCUGUAGGAGCUCCUGAAAAUCUGGUUGACAUAAUUACAGGGUUUGCUGAAACUGGAGAAGCACUUGUGGCUUCAGUUGAUAAAGUCAUAUUUGUUGGAUCACCUGGUGUGGGUAAGAUGGUAUGACCUCCUUUGCUGACUGAAUAUUAUUUUGGUCUUAUGGGCUGGAUUAUCACUUUCUUGUUUGACCCUUGUUUAAUUUCAAGAGACCGGAAUGCUCUCUCCUUUUUCCUUAAAAUUUGUUUACCAAGUCUGUAUUUCAUGCUUUUGACUCAUAGAUUCAGUACGAGGGAAGUAGACCUUUUGAAUGUGAUGCAACGUAUUUCUCUUCCAGCUCCUUCAAUAUUAUUCUUUCCUUCUAUUUGCACUGCCAUGCUGUGUUCAUUUUCUGGAUUGCUUGUAAGCUGGAAUCUUUAAUUUAUUCCAGAUCAUGAGAAAUGCUGCCAAUACACUGAUACCAGUUACGCUUGAGCUUGGUGGAAAAGAUGCAUUUGUUGUUUGUGAAGAUGUAGAUGUGCCUCAUGUAUGAAUCCAUCCUAACCUUCUAAUGUCUAGUUGGCUUGAAUGAUUCUUUGGGUCCUUGUCCUUCUGAAUAUUCUACUGGAUGUAGGUUGCACAAAUUGCAGUCAGGGCUGCUCUUCAAUCAAGUGGGCAAAAUUGUGCUGGGGCUGAGAGAUUUUAUGUCCAUAGAGACAUCUAUUCUUCAUUUGUCGGUGAAAUUGCUAAAAUUGUAAAAUCUGUUUCAGCUGUAAGUAAUUUUUUACCAGUUUUAUAUGUAGAACAUUUUUUGCAACGUUCGAACUUCUUUUUUUUUUAGUUUUACUUGAUGAUCUUUUGACUGUUAUACUAAUACCUUAUAUUUCACAGAAAACAACAGUUUCUAUUCAGUACUAUCUACUCAAUAUCUGUCUCGGUAUGUGUGUCUCUCUGUUCUGUGUGGACACGUGCCCAUCUGUUGUCACUUUUCAUGUCAUACUCACGUAUUAGUAUUUUAACUUGCACGUGUAAGAAGAGGAAGGAAAUAAUGAAAGACGCUGCUGGACUUGAACGGGACAAAACUAUAGAACUAUUGGUAUUGGCUAUGAGUGCUACUGCAUUAUUCUAUCUCUAAUUACUCUUUUGUUUUUCUUUUGCUUAAUCUAUCUGAAAUUAAUCAGAGGAAAGCUUAUUGAUUCAUGAAUUUGUAAGGAAGAACAAUGAUAUAUGAGAAGACACUUUAGAUUAUUUAAGUUUUUCUUGUAAAUUUCAUUAUUUAGAAUUCUAUUUGGAGUUUUUAUAUAUGUGAAAUUUGAAUUGUCUAAAUAUAUUAUAAUUAGUAUUUUGUGUUUGUUCUCUUUUUUCUAU
rnacentral:misc_RNA from 1 species